rnacentral:rRNA from 1 species
UGGGGAAUCUUGCGCAAUGGGCGAAAGCCUGACGCAGCCAUGCCGCGUGAAUGAUGAAGGUCUUAGGAUUGUAAAAUUCUUUCACCGGGGACGAUAAUGACGGUACCCGGAGAAGAAGCCCCGGCUAACUUCGUGCCAGCAGCCGCGGUAAUACGAAGGGGGCUAGCGUUGCUCGGAAUUACUGGGCGUAAAGGGAGCGUAGGCGGAUAGUUUAGUCAGAGGUGAAAGCCCAGGGCUCAACCUUGGAAUUGCCUUUGAUACUGGCUAUCUUGAGUAUGGAAGAGGUAUGUGGAACUCCGAGUGUAGAGGUGAAAUUCGUAGAUAUUCGGAAGAACACCAGUGGCGAAGGCGACAUACUGGUCCAUUACUGACGCUGAGGCUCAAAAGCGUGGGGAGCAAACA